AGUGGACUGGAACUCUUUAGAGUAUAUGACUGCACCUCAUGAGGUACACUGAACUAGAACUGCCCAGGGUUUUAUUUCCCAAAACAUACUUUUCCUUCUAUUUGCAACUCUUUUUUGUUCUUCUUCAAACCAUGCUGUCCUGCUUUUUCACGCCUGCUUCUGGAUAAUCUCAUGGAUGGAAAGGGUGAAUAACUGGAUCUGUGGACUUUCCUCUCAUCUCCUGGACAUCUAAGGUUUGCCCAUGGGUCCACAUUUGCUGAAAUGUAACUCUUAUCUCAUGCACUGGGAGUGAUGAACUUCACUAGGAAAUCAUCGUUCUUUCUGGUGCCUAUUGACUUCUCACAUUGUUGCCACUAUAACGCGGAUACAAGCUGAAACUCACAAUUGUUAUGUUUUGAAACUUGCUAAGGAAUUAGACGAUAUAAGCUGCAGCUCAGAAUCAGAGCAGGUCAAGUUGCUUCUUUUCAGUGAUCAUAAUCAAUUAUCCAGGAAAAGGGACAGAAGAAAUCAGGAAAAAGGAGAAUAGACUCUUUAUGCAUAGGAGCUUUAAUAUAUAGUUGACACUUGAACAACAUGGAUCUGAACUACACAAGUCCACUUAUUGGUGGAUUUUCUUCAGCCUCUGCCACCCUUGAGACAACAAGACCAAUACCUCCUCUUUUUCCUUCUCCUCAGCCUACUCAACUUGAAGAUGGUGAGAAUGAAGACCUUUAUGAUCAUCCACUUCUACUUGUUGAAUAGUAAAUAUAUUUUUUCCUUAUGGUUUUCUUAAUAACACUUUCUUUUCUCUUGAUUACUUUAUUGCCAGAAUACAGUACAUAGUACAUAUAAUAAGCAAAGUAUGUAUUAGUUUACUGUUUAAGUGAUAGGUAAGGCUUCCACUCAA
rnacentral:lncRNA from 10 species